GACAAGGUUCCAGGCCCUACGGGGUGCAGCAGGCGCGAAACCUCCGCAAUGUGAGAAAUCGCGACGGGGGGAUCCCAAGUGCCAUUCUUAACGGGAUGGCUUUUCAUUAGUGUAAAGAGCUUUUGGAAUAAGGGCUGGGCAAGACCGGUGCCAGCCGCCGCGGUAACACCGGCAGCUCUAGUGGUAGCAGUUUUUAUUGGGCCUAGAGCGUCCGUAGCCGGUUUAAUAAGUCUCUGGUGAAAUCCUGUAGCUUAACUGUGGGAAUUGCUGGAGAUACUAUUAGACUUGAGACCGGGAGAGGUUAGAGGUACUCCCAGGGUAGAGGUGAAAUUCUGUAAUCCUGGGAGGACCGCCUGUUGCGAAGGCGUCUAACUGGAACGGUUCUGACGGUGAGGGACGAAAGUUAGGGGCGCGAACCGGAUUAGAUACCCGGGUAGUCCUAACUGUAAACGAUGCGGACUUGGUGUUGGGGUGGCUUUGAGCUGCUCCAGUGCCGAAGGGAAGCUGUUAAGUCCGCCGCCUGGGAAGUACGGUCGCGAGACUGAAACUUAA
rnacentral:rRNA from 1 species